AAUAAAAAAAUGGAUUGGAGAGAGAGACUCUUUAGAAACUUUACUAAUACGUGUAAACUCUCAAACUUUUCUACCUAAUAUCUUGAGAAAUUGCAUGUAAGAUGGUGAUCAAAGGUUGAAUAUGAAGUAAGGAUAUCCGCUCUACCCAUCUCAAUAAAUACCCAUUAUGAAUUUAACCCAAUUAAAAAUAUGGCCAAUUGAAAAUAUUCAUUUAAGAACAUAUGGAAUUUAACCCAUCUCUAACUUAGCCAUUGAACUAUAAAAGCCUUACAAUUUAACCCAAUUACUCAUAGCCGAUAUUUGAAAAUAUUUAUUUUGAACGUUAACAGUUAUAUAAAAAAAUCACAUCAUAACAAAAACAUAAAACAAGAUAGGAACACAAGGGGUAAUUGAUCAAAUUAAAAAAAAAAAUAUGAGUAAGAAUCGAUAACUCGAGUAAAUUUAAGAAGUUUUGCCAUUAAAAAUAUAUAAAAUGGUUAGCCCUCAAAAUGAUAAUCCACUCUAUCAAUAAUGGAUUCAAUUCGAUAAUUUUUUAGUAUAUUUCUUCUUAAUUUUGCUUUAAACUCUCCAAGUCUAUUUCUAGCUAUUAGGUUAUUUGAAUAUCAAAACAGACUUACAUGCUCUUUCCUUUAGUUAAAUUUAUGAAUUAUAAGAUUCUGAACAUCGACGCAAUGUUUUCUUUUCCUUGAAAUGUAGUUGUAUGGCCGCUAGACAGGUAUUUACCAGGUUUUAUUUGAAUAAAAUAUC